UACGAAGGGGGCUAGCGUUGCUCGGAAUCACUGGGCGUAAAGCGCACGUAGGCGGAUUGUUAAGUCAGGGGCGAAAUCCUGGAGCUCAACUCCAGAACUGCCUUUGAUACUGGCGAUCUCGAGUCCGGGAGAGGUGAGUGGAACUGCGAGUGUAGAGGUGAAAUUCGUAGAUAUUCGCGAGAACACCAGUGGCGAAGGCGGCUCACUGGCCCGGUACUGACGCUGAGGUGCGAAAGCGUGGGGAGCAAACAGG
rnacentral:rRNA from 1 species